rnacentral:lncRNA from 1 species
CCGUAAUCUGGAUGAAAAUAAUUUGUACAUGAAAUUUGAUGAGAAAAAUGAGACGAACCCGGAUACGCUAUCCGUUCGUUUGUCACGCAUCCCUUUCAUAGCGAACAUAGAACUUUUCCAUCCGUUUCGCCUCUCUGUUAGUAGCCAGAGACCCGGGAAAUAUCGUCAGAUAUUUUAUCGAUCCGUCUAUAAUGAAUAAUACUGCGUUAGCUGAUGCCUAGUGCUUCUUAUUGCCACGUGUUACAUCGUGUUGCACGUGUGCUUUAUAUUUAUUGUUUCUCCCCCCUCUUCUCUCCGAUAGACGCUGAGGCUGAUGCUGCUGCCAGGUACGACUACACCUCUAACGACCAACCCUUUCCCGUAGAGCAACAAGACAAGCAACCCCCCCCCC